rnacentral:rRNA from 1 species
UAAUACGUAGGGGGCAAGCGUUGUCCGGAUUUACUGGGCGUAAAGCGCGCGUAGGCGGAAGCUUAAGCGGGGCCUGAAAGCCCCCGGCUCAACCGGGGAAGGUGGCUGCGAACUGGGCUUCUUGAGGACGAGAGAGGCAGGUGGAAUUCCUGGUGUAGCGGUGAAAUGCGUAGAGAUCAGGAGGAACACCGGUGGCGUAGGCGGCCUGCUGGCUCGUCACUGACGCUGAGGCGCGAAAGCGUGGGGAGCGAACGGGAUUAGAUACCCCGGUAGUCCACGCCGUAAACGAUGGUCACUAGGUGUGUGCGGUAUCGACCCCGCACGUGCCGCCGCUAACGCAGUAAGUGACCCGCCUGGGGAGUACGGCCGCAAGGUUG